rnacentral:ncRNA from 1 species
UGUGUUCUUGUUACGGUUAAUUAUUGUACUACAUCGUUCAAGUCUCUACCAGUCUAUUCAGGCAAAACUGCGAAUGGCUCGGUUACGCUUCGUUGACACUCGGUUAACUGCGGCAAUAGUAGGACCCUAAUACUUGGUUAACUGCUGUAUUUUUACCGCUAAUGCAUGUGUCAGAGCUCCGAUCUUCGGGAAUGAGCAUAUUUAUUAAACCAAAACCAAUCGGAUCUUGUGCCCAUACUAUGUGUUGUCCCUGUACAUCUUUGGAAUGAUCGCAGGAACUCGUCCCGGAGACUAUUGUUCAAGCGUCUAUCUUAUUAACUGCCGCUAUCAGGCUGAGUGCUGACCAUGAUCGUAACAUGUGACGGUGAAUCAGGAUUGUAUAUUCCUAAGAGGGAGUUCGAGAAUAGGUAACUACAUCCAAAGAAGACAGCAGGAGCGCAAACUAUCCACUUCCAGAAAGGGGAGAAAGUAGGAGGAAACUGCAAUGCGGGAUCUAUUGAAACGCGGUAAAUGGAACGAAUAAACUCUAAAUCCUUUCUCAAAGAUUAAACACA